rnacentral:rRNA from 1 species
AUUGAACGCUGGCGGCAGGCCUAACACAUGCAAGUCGAGCGGAUGAAGGGAGCUUGCUCCUGGAUUCAGCGGCGGACGGGUGAGUAAUGCCUAGGAAUCUGCCUGGUAGUGGGGGAUAACGUCCGGAAACGGGCGCUAAUACCGCAUACGUCCUGAGGGAGAAAGUGGGGGAUCUUCGGACCUCACGCUAUCAGAUGAGCCUAGGUCGGAUUAGCUAGUUGGUGGGGUAAAGGCCUACCAAGGCGACGAUCCGUAACUGGUCUGAGAGGAUGAUCAGUCAAACUGGAACUGAGACACGGUCCAGACUCCUACGGGAGGCAGCAGUGGGGAAUAUUGGACCAAGGGCGAAAGCCUGAUCCAGCCAUGCCGCGUGUGUGAAGAAGGUCUUCGGAUUGUAAAGCACUUUAAGUUGGGAGGAAGGGCAGUAAGUUAAUACCUUGCUGUUUUGACGUUACCAACAGAAUAAGCACCGGCUAACUUCGUG